GAUGAACGCUGGCGGUGUGCCUAAUACAUGCAAGUCGAGCGAACAGACGAGGAGCUUACUCCUCUGACGUUAGCGGCGGACGGGUGAGUAAUACGUGGAUACCCUACCUUUAAGACUGGGCUAACUUAGGGAAGCCGGAGAUAAUACCGGAUAAGAUGUUGAAACGCAUGGUUCAACAGGGAAAGAGGGAUUUGAUGGCACUAAUAGAUGGUUCCGAGUCGCAUUAGUUAGUUGGUAAGGUAACGGCUUACCAAGGCUACGAUGCGGAGACGACCUGGAAGGGUGAUCGGCCAAACUGGAACUGAGAACAGGGCCAGACUCCUAAGGGAGGCAAGAGGAGGGAAUCUUCCGCAAAGGGCGGAAGCCUGGCGCAGCACAGCCGCGUGAGUGAAAGAGGUCUUCGGAUCGUAAAACCCUGUUAUUAGGGAAGAAAAAAUGUGUAAGUAACUAUGCACGGCUUGACGGUACCUAAACAGAGAGCCACGGCUAAAUACCUG
rnacentral:rRNA from 1 species